AUUGGACGCUGGCGGCAGGCCUAACACAUGCAAGUCGAGCGGAUGACGGGAGCUUGCUCCUUGAUUCAGCGGCGGACGGGUGAGUAAUGCCUAGGAAUCUGCCUGGUAGUGGGGGACAACGUUUCGAAAGGAACGCUAAUACCGCAUACGUCCUACGGGAGAAAGCAGGGGACCUUCGGGCCUUGCGCUAUCAGAUGAGCCUAGGUCGGAUUAGCUAGUAGGUGAGGUAAUGGCUCACCUAGGCGACGAUCCGUAACUGGUCUGAGAGGAUGAGCAGUCACCCUCGAACUGACACACGGUCAAGACUCCGACGGGAGUCGGCGGUGGGGAAUAUUGGACAAUGUGCGAAAGCCUGCUCCAGCCAUGCCGCGUGUGUGAAGAAGGUCUUCGGAUUGUAAAGCACUUUAAGUUGGGAGGAAGGGCAGUAAGCUAAUACCUUGCUGUUUUGACGUUACCGACAGAAUAAGCACCGGCUAACUCUGUGCCAGCCGCCGCCGUAACAC
rnacentral:rRNA from 1 species